GGAAGCAUAGCUCAGCUGGGAGAGCAUCUGCCUUACAAGCAGAGGGUCACAGGUUCGAGCCCUGUUGUUUCCACCA
rnacentral:tRNA from 6 species